GGAUGUGAGGGCGAUCUGGCUGGGACACCUGUCACCCUGUGGAUCGCCAGGGUUGAUUCGGCUGAUCUGGCUGGGUAGGUGGGUGUCCCCUUCCUCCCUCGCUGCUCCAUGUGCGUCCCUCCCAAAGCUGCACACUCGGAUGAAGAGGAAGAACUUCCACGCUGAAAGAGGACCGGUCUUCGGUCAAGGGUAUACGAGUAGCUGCGCUCCCCUGCUAGAACCUCCAAACAAGCUCUCAGUCGUAGCUAAGCACUAGUUUAACAGUAUGUGAAAAGCACUAAUGUUUAUAGGUGAAAUAUAAGGCAUU
rnacentral:snRNA from 1 species